AUGAACGCUGGCUACAGGCUUAACACAUGCAAGUCGAGGGGAAACGACGGGGAAGCUUGCUUCCCCGGGCGUCGACCGGCGCACGGGUGAGUAACGCGUAUCCAACCUGCCUCUGACUGAGGGAUAACCCGUCGAAAGUCGGCCUAAUACCUCAUGGCAUCGUCUGCGGGCAUCCAACGACGAUUAAAGAUUUCAUCGGUCAGGGAUGGGGAUGCGUCUGAUUAGCUUGUUGGCGGGGUAACGGCCCACCAAGGCUACGAUCAGUAGGGGUUCUGAGAGGAAGGUCCCCCACAUUGGAACUGAGACACGGUCCAAACUCCUACGGGAGGCAGCAGUGAGGAAUAUUGGUCAAUGGGCGGGAGCCUGAACCAGCCAAGUAGCGUGCAGGAUGACGGCCCUAUGGGUCGUAAACUGCUUUUAUGCGGGGAUAAAGUGAGGGACGUGUCCUUCAUUGCAGGUACCGCAUGAAUAAGGACCGGCUAAUUCCGUG
rnacentral:rRNA from 1 species